rnacentral:rRNA from 1 species
GUGCCAGCAGCCGCGGUAAUACAUAGGGGGCGAGCGUUAUCCGGAAUUAUUGGGCGUAAAGCGUGCGUAGGUGGUCAGUUAAGUCUGGCGUGAAAUUCCCUGGCUUAACCAGGGGGGGUCGUUGGAAACUGGCUGACUUGAAUCCAGAAGGGGUAAGUGGAAUUCCAUGUGUAGCGGUAAAAUGCAUAGAGAUAUGGAGGAACACCAGUGGCGAAGGCGGCUUACUGGUCUGGAAUUGACACUGAGGCACGAAAGCGUGGGUAGCAAACAGGAUUAGAUACCCUGGUAGUCCACGCCGUAAACGAUGAGCACUAAGUGUCGGACGAAAGUUCGGUGCUGUAGUUAACGCAUUAAGUGCUCCGCCUGGGGAGUACGGUCGCAAGACUGAAACUCAAAUGAAUUGACGG